rnacentral:sRNA from 1 species
ACUGGGUGUGGUGACGCAUGCCUGUAAUCCCAGCAACUCAGGAGGCUAAAGCAGGAGGAUCUUGAGUUCAAAGCCAGCCUCAGCAAUUUAGUGAGGCCCUAAGCAACUCAGCAAGACUCUUGUCUUUA